rnacentral:rRNA from 1 species
UACGUAGGGUGCAAGCGUUACUCGGAAUCACUGGGCGUAAAGGGUGCGUAGGCGGCUUGUUAAGUUGGAUGUGAAAUCCCUCAGCUCAACUGAGGAACUGCGUCCAAAACUGACGGGCUUGAGGACGGUAGGGGACAGUGGAACUCCUGGUGGAGCGGUGAAAUGCGUAGAGAUCAGGAGGAACGCCGGUGGCGAAAGCGACUGUCUGGGCCGUAUCUGACGCUGAGGCACGAAAGCCAGGGGAGCAAACGGG